UGGGCUAUUGGGCUGCUCUUAUUGCUUCAGAUCCGAUCCACUUCUGAUCCGCAUCCGUUCCACUUCUGAUCCGCUCCAAAGGUAAAUUGUCUUCAUUUCCCUCUCGUGCCAUAAUUCCCAAUCUAUCAUUCUCAAUCCCUAACCCUUGUCUCAUUUCCCCCAAUUCUCCUUCAUCCUCUUCGCGUUCACGCCCUUCUCCUCCCACCAUGACAAUACCCACCCCUCGAGAGGAUCCUUGUCCCCAAGGAUCAAAAGACGGAAAUUGGCCUUGGAGUACUGAAUAAUCUUCCCAGGUGUCAUGCGAGGCGUCCAGGAGGCUCUGUCGAAGAUGUUGCGACUGGCUCAAUAUGCCUCUUCAACAUACUGACGUGAAAGACUGGAUGCAAUCGAGAAUUUUCAGGGAUGUUUGACGAUAAGGUUGCAACUUCAGAUAUGGGCUAUUGGGCUGCUCUUAUUGCUUCAGAUCCGAUCCACUUCUGAUCCGCAUCCGUUCCACUUCUGAUCCGCUCCAAAGGUAAAUUGUCUUCAUUUCCCUCUCGUGCCAUAAUUCCCAAUCUAUCAUUCUCAAUCCCUAACCCUUGUCUCAUUUCCCCCAAUUCUCCUUCAUCCUCUUCGCGUUCACGCCCUUCUCCUCCCAC